rnacentral:piRNA from 1 species
UGAGCAUGGAUUGUUAGUAGCUGGUCUGG